AACCUUGGGCCUGGCUGGCCGGUCCGCCUCACCGCGUGCACUGGUCCGGCCGGGCCUUUCCCUCUGUGGAACCGCAUGCCCUUCACUGGGUGUGCCGGGGAAACAGGACUUUUACUUUGAAAAAAUUAGAGUGCUCCAGGCAGGCCUAUGCUCGAAUACAUUAGCAUGGAAUAAUAGAAUAGGACGUGUGGUUCUAUUUUGUUGGUUUCUAGGACCGCCGUAAUGAUUAAUAGGGACAGUCGGGGGCAUCAGUAUUCAAUUGUCAGAGGUGAAAUUCUUGGAUUUAUUGAAGACUAACUACUGCGAAAGCAUUUGCCAAGGAUGUUUUCAUUUAUCAGGAACGAAAGUUAGGGGAUCGAAGACGAUCAGAUACCGUCGUAGUCUUAACCAUAAACUAUGCCGACUAGGGAUCGGACGAUGUUAUUUUUUGACUCGUUCGGCACCUAC
rnacentral:rRNA from 1 species